rnacentral:rRNA from 1 species
UACGGAGGAUCCGAGCGUUAUCCGGAAUUAUUGGGUUUAAAGGGUGCGUAGGCGGGAUGAUAAGUCAGGGGUGAAAUACAUCGGCUCAACCGGUGCAGUGCCCUUGAUACUGUCGUUCUUGAAUGUGCGCGAAGGAGGCGGAACGGGACAAGUAGCGGUGAAAUGCAUAGAUAUGUCCCAGAACCCCGAUUGCGAAGGCAGCUUCCUAGAGCAUAAUUGACGCUGAUGCACGAAAGCGUGGGGAUCGAACAGGAUUAGAUACCCCUGUAGUCC